rnacentral:rRNA from 1 species
AGUGAACGCUGGCGGUAGGCCUAACACAUGCAAGUCGAACGGCAGCACAGUAAGAGCUUGCUCUUACGGGUGGCGAGUGGCGGACGGGUGAGGAAUACAUCGGAAUCUACUUUUUCGUGGGGGAUAAGGUAGGGAAACUUACGCUAAUACCGCAUACGACCUACGGGUGAAAGCAGUGGAUCUUCGGACCUUGCGCGAUUGAAUGAGCCGAUGUCGGAUUAGCUAGUUGGCGGGGUAAAGGCCCACCAAGGCGACGAUCCGUAGCUGGUCUGAGAGGAUGAUCAGCCACACUGGAACUGAGACACGGUCCAGACUCCUACGGGAGGCCGCAGUGGGGAAUAUUGGACAAUGGGCGCAAGCCUGAUCCAGCCAUACCGCGUGGGUGAAGAAGGCCUUCGGGUUGUAAAGCCCUUUUGUUGGGAAAGAAAAGCAUCAGGUUAAUACCCCGCUGUUCUGACGGUACCCAAAGAAUAAGCACCGGCUAACUUCGUG